ACAAUAGAAGUAGGUACCCCGUGCAAUCGCACAAUCUCAUCCAAGUAUACCUGUGCGAGUCUCUCACCAGUCCAAGUAGUGUGGAUAGGUACGAAAUGUGCCAAUUUUGUCAACCUAUCCACGAUCACCCAAAUAGCAUCAUGCCCGACCUAAGAGCGGGGCAAACCCAUCACAAAGUCCAUGGUGAUCUUCUCCCAUUUCCACACCGGAAUUGGUAAGCUCUGCAAUUUUUUCGCGGGAACUCGGUACUUGGCUUUCACCUGUUGGCAAGUUAAACAUCUAGCAACAAACACAACGUCCUUUUUCAUCCCGGGCCACCAAUAAAGCAACUUUAAGUCCUUAUACAUCUUGGUGCCUCCCGGAUGUAUAGUAUACGGUGCUCGGUGUGCCUUUUGAAGAAUUUUUUCUCUAAGUACCGAUUCCACCGGUACACAGAUCCGUCCACGGAAGUGCAUCAGUCCAACACCGUCCACAGAAAAGUCACCGAUGCAACCAUCAAUCAUCUUAGCUCGAAUCCUUUGCAACUCCAUAUCGGAGACUUGCUUUUCUUUAAUUUUUUCUAUAAGUGUAGGUUGCACCAUCAAAGUCAUCAGUCCCAAAGGUGUAUCAGGAGCCACCACCUCUAACUCCAACCGCUUCAUCUGCUUGAUUAACGGCGAUUGAGUAACCACAAGCAUCGCUAAGUUUUCCGUCGAUUUCCUACUUAGCGCAUCUGCCACCACGCUAGCCUUGCCCGGGAGGUAAAGUAUCGUCAAAUCAUAAUCCUUGAGUAGCUCCAACCAUCUGCGCUGCCUCAAGUUCAACUCCUUCUGAGUGAAUAAAUACUUUAAACUUUUGUGAUCCGUAUAUACUUCGCAUCGCUCGCCAUACAAGUAAUGGCGCCAUAGCUUCAAAGCAAAGACCACAGCCGCCAACUCUAAAUCAUGAGUAGGGUAGUUUCUCUCAUAAUCCUUCAACUGGCGAGAUGCAUACGCAAUCACUUUCCCAUCCUGCAUCAAGACACAGCCCAAUCCACUAAAAGAAGCAUCACUAUAAAUCACAUACCCUGCUCCAGCAGUUGGCAAGGUUAGGAUCGGGGCGGUCGUCAAUCUCUGCUUCAACUCUUGGAAGCUCCUUUCACACGCAUCAUUCCAAACGAACUUGGUACCUUUAUGUGUGUGCCUCGUGAGGGGAGCAGACAACUUUGCAAAUCCCUCGACAAACCGUCGGUAGUAGCUGGCCAAACAAAUGAAGCUCCGUAUCUCGGUGACACUCAUCGGCCUCGGCCAAUCCUUGAUGGCUUCAAUCUUCCUAGGAUCCACAGCUAUACCUGAUCCUGAAAUCAAGUGGCCCAAAAACGCCACCUCUCUAAGCCAAAACUCACACUUUUUCAAUUUGGCAUAGAGCUUCUUUUUCCGAAACACUUGGAGUACAAGUCUCAAGUGUUCCUCGUGAUGCGCAUCACUUUGAGAAUAGACCAAAAUGUCGUCGAUGAAUACUACGACGAACCUGUCUAGAUAAGGCUUGAAAAUACGGUUCAUUAGAUCGAUAAAAGCCGCCGGGGCAUUAGUAAGCCCAAACGGCAUAACGGUAAACUCAUAAUGUCCAUACCGUGUUCUAAAAGCCGUCUUCGACACAUCCUCAGGCUUGAUCUUCAGCUGGUGAUAUCCCGACUGUAAGUCGAUCUUGGAAUACACACUAGAUCCCUGGAGCUGAUCAAAUAAAUCAUCAAUCCUCGGUGUUGGAUACUUAUUCUUGAUCGUGACUUUAUUGAGUUCACGAUAAUCUACGCACAAGCGAAGUGAUCCAUCCUUCUUCUUGACAAAUAGGACCGGUGCUCCCCAAGGUGACACACUCGGUCGCACAAAACCCUUGUCCAGAAGAUCUUGCAACUGUGCCCUCAGUUCCUUCAGUUCCGCUGGUGACAUCCUAUAGGGCGUCUUCGAGAUUGGAGUAGUCCCGAGAAUGAGAUCUACCACAAACUCAAUUUCCCUAUCAGGUGGCAUGCCUGGAAGCUCUGCUGGAAACACAUCUCCAAACUCCCGUACUAUGAAAAUAUCCUCAAUCCAAGGGGCGUCGACAUCACCUCGCAACACAACGGUAGCCAAAUAGGCUAAGCAGCCUCUACUAAUCAACUGUCUAGCUCGAGAGGAGCUAAUCGUCAUCGCAAAUAGCGAACUCUGGCAUUCUCGGUACACAACCUCCGCCUGCCCCGGCUCUCUAAACGUCAUAGUUCGAUUCUUGCAAUCAAUAGUGGCGUAGUACUUGGUCAACCAGUCCAUGCCCAAAACAAUAUCAAACUCUCCGAGUUUAUGCAAAGCUAGCAAGUCCACGGGCAUAAUCCAAUCUCCAACCCAAACAGGGCAACUGGGGCAAAACUCUCGAAUAUCCAAAGAGUGAUCGGGUACUACGACUCGUCCCGGAUGCAACAAAGAUGUCAGUGGGAUGCCAUGCAACUUGGCAAACAGCCGGUCUAUGAAUGAAUGGGAUGCACCAGUAUCAAAUAAUGCUCGUACUCGAAUACCAUAAAGUAAAAUGAUACCUGCGACCACGGCUGCUGCCGCCUCCUCAGUCUGGGUCGCAUACAUGCGCCCACUCGGGGCCUGUCGUGACCCCCGCCUGCAGCUGAACUCGCGGCCACCCAGCCUGGUGAUGCACAGAAAGUGUCCCCUGGCUGGGGCCUAGUAAAGCUGGAGAAGAUGCCGAAGAUGGCGCUGGUACUGGGCCCCUCGGGCAGUCCGACUGGAAGUGGCCCUCCUGGCCACACAAGUAGCAUCUGCCCCGACUGCGUGAACACUGCCGUGGAAAAUGGGGACCACCGCAUAUCAAGCUGCGCGAAGCCAGGCGUCGAUCAGGUCCUCCUCGCUGAGUAGACUGGCUACGUCCUCGCGACUGGCUCCGAUGUCUAGGAUGUCUCGGAGGCCUCCCUGAGUGCGCCUGACUCGCACCCUCAGCCGCGGGCCUCUUGCCUUUGCCUUCGUCCAAGGCCUCUCGCCGCUUCUGCAGAUCUGCCGCGCCGCUCUCCACUAUAAGCGCGCGGUUCACAACCUCCCGGUAGGUUUGGAGGUUGGAAGCCUGAAUAAACCGAAAGAUCGAAGGCCGCAGUCCUCGCUCGAAGAUGCGGGCCUUAUCCUCGUCGUCCCGAACAACAAAGGGCACGCAAUGAAGAAGCCGGGAGAACUCUCUCUCGUACUCGGCCACCGUCUUGUCCCCCACGCGUAGAUUGCGCAAAUCCUGCUCCAUCUUCCUCUUGACACUGUCAGAGAAGUAAUGCUCUAGUAGGAGUUCCUUGAACCUCCUCCAAGAAAUCGCCGUCAGAUCCGUGCUGGGGUUGUCCUGGAUGUCCAACCACCACUGGUAGGCCUCGCCGACCAGAUGAUGUGUAGCGAGCCAAACUCUGUCCCUCUCCUCUACAAAGGUGUCCCAAAACAGUUUCUCCAUAUGCAUAAGCCAUUUCUCCACGAUCCAGUGAUCCACGUUCUCCCUGCCAAAGGUCCGGGGGCUGUAUCUCCUGAACUCACUGAGACGCUCCAUAAGCCGAUCCCGCUCAGCUCCCUCAACCAUCAGGGGAAAAAACCGCCCUCGCUACAAGCGCUCGUGCUGGUGGUGCCGCAAUGUCCUUCUCCUGAGGUGCCGCCAUUGGUACCAUCCUAGACGCGUCGAGUGCAAGGGACGACAUCCUGGGCGCGACCACCUUUACUGGUGCGGGUGGUGUAGGGAUCUGAGUCUCACUGGCAGCCGCCUGCUGCAGCAAAAGGUCCUCCAGACGCUUCAUUCACGCCUCCUGCCGAAGCGCCGUGUCCGCCUGUCGCGUCACCAAAUCAGUGAGGGCUGCCAGCUGGCCUCUCAGCUCACGGACCUCGCCGGAUCCGAAGGUAGCAGAGGUCUCAGCCUCCUCAAAUUGUGCCGCAUUGUCCUCCCCCGCAGAUCGAGAGCGUGUGAUCGGCAUCGUCACUACAAAACAUAAAAGCGCAAGUUAGUAACCGGUGCUAUCGAAUCCCCGCUCAAAUAACAAUACCCAAAUCAUGAGAAAGUAAGGAAGUGUUAUCUACAACUAACUCCCGAUGUUACGUUGUCGGCCAAAAACGUAACCCUCCGCGAAGUUAGAAGCCAUACACCCCGAUCCAACUCGAACUUUUUAGAGUUAUCGUAAAACCCAAUUGAAAUACUUUCGCUUACAAGUCAAAUAGACCUCGUCUCUCACGAGCCUAUAUCCUAUAGUCCAACCGGCCUAAGGUUUGCUAGGUCCUCUAAGACUCAACCCUUGGAUCGAUACCAAAUUAAUCUGUCACGCCCCGGGACCGGCAAAGGCCCUCCCGGUAGCGCGCCCAGACCCACCCAGACCCGCCCUUCACAAAGUGUGGAAAAGCUCAGAACACCAAUCAAACACUCGUACCUCGCAAUUUGCAAAGGUCCAGUGUGUUUUACAUUGCUCCAUAUAGUGGAGGUCUUGUUGGUAAUGUAAAUGCGUGACAUGCAUCAUGGACAUUGUAGUAUCAACGCAAAUGGCAUAAGAAAGUGACUAUCUUAGCUAUAGUGGAAUAGACUAAGUGUGAACUUUCAUUGAGACUUGAGCAAUAGUGAACUAUUCUAAAUAAGAUAAUGACAUGUGUUAUGUGAAUAUGAACUAGAGACUUUUACUUGACAUAGUAAAUAUAAACGUCAUGUAGUGACAUUCGGGUUAGUAAAUGAUAACCUUGACACUUGAUACUAUACUUGGACCUUUGGGAUCGUGCUACAUAUUUCAUGUUUUAGACAUGAGGACCGAGAGCUGGAUACUAUUGAUCAUGCUUGCUUGCCAUUGUACUCAUUCGCACAUGCUUGUGAGGGUCGCUCCCCACAAGCCGACACUUCAGAGAUAGCCUACGCGACACAAGCUCGCCCGUGCGGGAUUGGGCGCUAAAAUGGGAUGCCGUGGGGGAGGCUCAUUCCUAGAGUGGGGAUGUUGACUACCACGGGGCCAUUUUUGGCACGGCACAAGCCGGACUACACACGUGUACAUCCAUGACGAGAAUUAAACUAUGAUACCAAAUGUGUAAUGAGAAAACUACUACUAGAAAGUGCAUCCUAGUUGGAUUUGUAGAUAUGCAUGAUAGUGCAUAGUGUGAACUUAUGUUAGUCAUUCUUGGCAUUGACAUUCUAGUGGUAGUAGAUUACACCUUUGUUGAUUGGCUUAUUGUAUGGUUAGAAUAGUAUGGAAAGUAUCAUGCUUCAUUGUAAAAUUAUGAACAUAAUGGACAUGCAGGACAAUUAAUAUACAAUGGAUUAUGCUUGUAAACCGACAUUAACAUCUAGUUGAUCAAAUGACAAUCGAACCUCAUAUGCAUAAUAGUAUUUGUUUAGUAAAAGCAAGACUUUGAUGAACAUGUUUAAGUACCUGCCUUUCAUAUCUGUUUAUUAACUUACCUUUAUAGCAUGCUUAUUUUAGCCUAGUGGAGUAUUUCGCUGAGAUCAGUAAUUGCCCACUGGGAACUAUUUUUGAUAGUUCUCACACCCCCCUAUUUUUUGUUGUUGUUUUCAGAGCCAUCCGCAUCGGGAGUGGCUAGGGAUCGAGGCAAGGGGUUAGCGGCUAGCUAGAGCCCUACGGAGUUAUUUUAGUUGGACCCGAUGUCAUCUUUUCUUUUUGUACCUUGAGAAAAGAUGUAUUAUGUAUUUGUUUAGAGCUUUAUGUUAGAUUCUGGAUUUAGUUGUAUACUUUUGUAUCUCUAUUUGUGGAUCCCUUUAUGCUAGAACUUUAGUGAUUUUAUUAUACUCGCUCUGAUAGCCUUAUUAGGACUUCUAUAUUCAUUUCUUGUUUAGUAGACGCCUUGUGUGCAUCGUGUUUGUUGGUGUACACGGCGGGUCUGUGCACGUGCCUGCGGGCUUCCGCUGGGCCCGGGGCAUGACAGAUUAAUUUGGUAUCAGAGCCUAGGGUUGAGUCUUAGGGGACCUAACAAACCCUAGGCCGGUUGGACGAUAAGGGAUAGGAACAUGAGAGAUGGGGUCUGUUGGGACCAUUUGUAAGAGAAAGUAUUAUGACUGGGUCACAUUUAUAACUCCUAAAGUGUUGAAGAUGAAUCGUAGUGAUUAACAUCUAUGUCCUUGAAAGAAGAUCACGUCGACGGCCGACAACGUAAUAUCAAGGAAUAGUAGGAAGUCACUUCAUUACUUUCGCAUGAUUGGAAUAUUGUAGCUAUGAGUGGGGCUGCGUUAGCAUCGGUUGUUUUAACCUAUGCUUGUUAUGUUUGUUGUAGCUUGUGACGUCGGCGACACCCACGACGGCAGCCGAGGCGACCGAGCCGGGGAAGGCUGCAUCCCCCCGAUCCGGCGAGAUUCGGGAAUUGAGGGAGCAGUUGGCCACUUUAGUUGGCGUGGUGGAGCGAUAGACGAGCGUGGUGCUACUUCAGGCCGAAACUUUGUGCCGACAGGAUGAGGGAAUCAGGCGAUUGGAGAGUCUGUUGAUCCGGCAGACGGUUGACUUUAAGAGUCCCCAGGAGGGUUCGGAUCAGGCCUUGACCGCGGGGAGAGGCAUGGAGGUUACUGGAGUGGCAAAGGAAACGUCCAAGAGCGAUAAGUUGCAUGUCAGCGAAUCGUCGAGGAAAGUUAAGAAGAAUCGAUUUCGAUGACGUGGUUCACGUGCUAGGCGAAGGACGCUGAGACGACAAUCGCCACUGCGAUGUGUGAUUUGCGAAGGUUUGCACUUGCCCAAACAGUGUCCUCGGGGGAGAGGGAGAUAUUACCCGUGCGGCCAGGCGGGCCAUUUUCAACUUGAAUGCCCGAGGAAAGGCGGGAUUACUGGAGCGUCGGUGCCAACCUCGACCCGAGAGGCACCCAGUGGAUGUGUGCCCACAGACUUGCCGGAGCUAGUUGUGGCGACUGAGAGGGCUACUGCAGGUAGCAUGUCUUGUAGUGCUUUUUGAAUUUCAUCAUGAUUGAGAUGAUUGCAUCAUUUGCAUCCAUUCUUUGAUCGGCUACUUGCCGAGUUGCAUGGCAUUCCGUUGGUUCGCUAUUUGCGAUGACUUUUAGCUUUUCUCGCGCUAGGCGGUUGAUUUGCGGGUUGUGGGUAGCAUGUUUUGCUAUGUUUUGUGGAUCUCACGAUGAUUGCAUUAGUUGCAUCCCUUGAUCGGCUGUUCGCCGGCUAGUGCCUCGGGACGACCCGUGCCUGGAUCACUUGUAGAGCCUAGGCCCUUUGGGCAGGCGUAGACAUCUGUGAGUCACAGCGGCCCGAUACCUACGGGUAGGGCAGAGUUUUGGUCAAGACGGUAGUCCGAGCUUAGACCCGGGAGCAUGGAAUGCCACGUGUUGGAUCAUGAGAUCGAGGAUACACUGAGUGUGUAGUGACCCAACCCGAGGAUUUGCUAGCGUUGAUCUUUUUCGAUGCAUGUAGGACGAUCGGUUGAUCGGGUGUGUCGUUUUGAACACCCUACCUUGUAAGAGGGUUUUUUGCGCCAACAAAUGGAUUGGCCUUAUUUGGUGUGGAGUUAUUGUGGGUACCUGGUACCCUUGGUCUUGCGAGCUGACCUGACUCGCCUUGAGGUUUUGAGCACGAAAUAGUGCGAUUUGAGGAUUUAGUUCCGCUGGUUGCGACGACUGUCUCCCCACCUAAAAUCGAGUAAUUGGGGAGGAUUUGGGGCCUAGUUGGCCAUUAGCAUUCGUUGAUCGAGAAUCCUUGUAAUGGAGGAUAUCAUUCGAGUUGUUGUUGUUUUAACGAUUGAGACACGAAGUGUGAGCUCAAUUAGCGGGGAGGUUCGUAUCUAGUGUUUUGCUUCGUGGAGAAGCACCCACACUUGUUGUGGGACCGGAUGGGUUGUUUCGACUGUAUGUCGACUAUCGUGAUCUAAAUUGAACCACGAUUGGGUGUUUGGACCGUUGUAGAGGCUCUUUGAUCCUUUCAAUUAGCCUUGAGCUGUAGGGGUACUCGAUAAGAUUAAGAUGUAAUCUGAGUAGUACCGUUUUAUGUUGGAGCUUGAGGUUGUGCCUCAAACGGACUUUGAUGCUGGGUUGGGACAUCGCGAGAAUUAUUGUGAUGUUGCCUAAGCCUGUGGUACUCCACCAGUGUUAGGGACUUACUGAAUGAUAAUUCCAAACCCUCUGGAUGGAUUUGUAGAACCGGUCGCGGAUGGCCAUGAGUAUUCCGAUGAAGAAUUGCGAGGAUCGACUGCGGAGGCAGAUUGACGUGAUCGAGGUCUGAAACUCUCACUAUUGGAUCAAGUGGUUGGGAAACUCGAGAGGAAAAAAUGCCAAGUUGCUAUUUUCCCUUGUCCGGUUUAUGCACCAGGAAUCAAGAUCUUGAGAAUGAAAACUGCGUGAAAGAGUUGUUUGGAUUGACGUUUUGACUGUUGGUCACAUUAUGGUGACAUUGAUAGAGAACUAUUUUUGAAUUGUGGAUGGAACCCUCUCUAUCACUUGAGUUGAACUCGGUGACUGUGGACACCUGGGGCAUCUGAUGCUAAGGGAAGCGUUGAGGAUGAGAAUUUUGAGUAAUUCUUCAUGAGUAACUGAACGGUUAAUGUACGAGACAUUCUAUCGAAGGUAAGCCCUUGGCUUAGGCUUACGAAGAGUUUAAUGGAGGCAUCGAGUUGAGACUAAGGGAAUGACCCUAGUGGAUUGAGAAUGUUACUGAACUUGGUCCAUGACCAUUAUAGUAGAGGAUUUGAGAGUACUACCCGAGCGGUGAGAGUGAGAUUGAUGUGGAGGCAUUGUGGUGCAAUGCCGAUGGAGGAAUCAAGUAAUCACCUUUGGCGAGCAAAUUUGGAUGAUUCGUCGGUUUCCGUUGCUAUCGAAAGGAUUGUUGCUGUGGAUGUUGAUUGUAGAGCAGUUCGUGCGAAGCAAUUUGGAAUGGUAGCCAUGUGGAAAUUACACCAUACUUAAUUAUGGAAUAGAGUGGCACCCAGUUGUGCAAUCUCGUGACGGGAUUUGAUUUUGAGUUGUGAGAUCAUCGUUGGGAUUGAGUCAACGAUUGGACGUGGCAUCGCCUCUCUUUGGUGAUUGAUAUCAUGUGAGUACUCUGGUGGAGUUUUGAUGAAUUGGGUGACGGGUGUAACCCCCGGAUUCUUGCUUUGGACAGCGUCGUUGAAUCCGCCUUAGAAGGAUAUAUGAUGAAAUUCUAUAUAUAAGAGUAAAGCGAAGCAGAGCUAGGCUUUGCCCUCAACCUGGAUAAGGAAGUAAGAGCUGGAAUUUAGCCUUUGGAAGCACUUGGUUUUGUGAGGACCAACUGAUGGGCUUGUCGAACAAGCGCGGAUUUGAGAUGGAACUUUCCUGUGAAGACUUGAGUUCAAGGUGCUUUUGUAGGGUUUGGCUUGCGAUAUGCCAAAUCCUUGGAGUCGCGGGAUUUUGUUGUGUUGUGCCUUGGAGCAAUCCGACAUGCUUGAGACCUUCGUGGUCUGGUUGGUACGCUGUUGGAGCGUCCCUUCCAUCCUCUUUCGAUGGGUCUGUUCCGUGGUUGACCCGCAGUUUCUGUAACAUACCAGAUUUUGGUAUAAAAAUAAAAAUAAAUAAAAAUAGUGUGAGAAACUAUUUUUAUUGAAUUUGUGGAAGUAAAACAUAAGCUCUCUACGCAACAGCCGAACGGAGCAAAUUUCGGUUCGGGGACCGGUUCUCCUACAUGAGGAACCCGUCUCAUCUACCUGGGACUGUCCCAGAGAGACCUCCAGCCAGACUUAGCAAUUGUCAGGUUCGUACCGUUUUUCGUGCUCGUUUUCGCCCGUUUUCGUUCCGUUUUACCUCCGUUCGUCUCUAAUCGAACCGAACUCUCCAAACAUAUUUUCAAAACAUGUUUUCAUCAUCUUCCAUCCUCGCUAAUCGCCGAUUUAACUCACGGCCCAACAUAGGCCUCGGCUUGCCGUUUUCGCGCACUAUGCGCACGAGAAAGCCACUCAAAAAAAAUAAAAAGAUAGCUUCACGAACCUACUCGAACCGAACUUCAACCGAACAGUUAAAUAGCUCUCAAUCGAUGACACCCAUAAGAUUAAUAGUUUAGAAUCCGAUACGUACAUCUCCCUCCUUAAAAGAGUUUCGUCCCGAAACUAACUCACUUUCAACCGCAUUAAUACUCCAACUCGUUUAUCGAGCACGUAUGGUCCAAUGCAUUGCGCUCCGAAUAGUCUUAUUACGCAUAAUGAAUCAUGCCAAAGGCUCACCACGAGAAUGUGAACUAGAUUACUCACAUUUGCUAAGCGUAACCACCGUAAGUCUUACGGUCUCCAUUACCUGGGUGCGCAGUCGAAGCUCAAACGACUCCCCGCGCUCAGCCCAUCAUCCGCAUUACGUAAUGCAAGAAUGCUUCCUGGCAUCACACCAUCGUCAGGGAACACAUCUCCGAUUCGAUUAGCACGGCAUUGCUUAGAAGCAAUCAUCAAUUGGGCCGAUCGACCCUGGAGUGCUCCAAUCCAUUUGGUACCCUUGCUCUACACCAUACCCGAGAUGCCUACCCGCAUAUCUCGAUGUCUUAAUACACAAGAGAGCUGUCCAAACUCUCAUGUGGCCUAAUCGUAUUCAGGUCUCGAGAAACGACUUUCACCUAUUUUCAAUUGCUCACUUCUAAUCCUCAAAAUCGCUCAACCACAGCAUGGCCCUAUCCACGCAACAUCUCUCGAACUUCAAUCCAUGAAAAAGAGCGUAUUUCCCAAUUUUUUUCCAACAUAACCCCAUUCUUGCCUGGCAAAGUUUCAUGCCGGGACGGUCUCCCUGCCUGGAACCCGGUCCAAGGGGACAUCCUCAAUCUCAGCGUGUUCGCAACCAGGUCCUCCUCGGACCUACGGCCGUUGCUCUGCGCUUAAGCCACAUGCUCUAGCCUCGGGGCAACCGGUUCCCUCCCUCGCUGGGACGUCCCCCGAAGAAGCGCGCGAGACAACGUUCGGGAAGCCGUCCCUCCCGCAGUGACCCGUCCCGAGAGCAAAUUUGCCAAGUGCAAAUUCUUGCACUAUUUGUCUAAGCGGUACUCCAUUUGUAAUGCACUUGUGCUUUUAACUUCUGGUCUUUACAAAAGCAUCCCACUCGAAAAUAUCGCUCACUGAGCGAAGUCAAUUCUAGCAUUUUUGAGAUUCAUCUCCCUUGCACCAAACUCCCUUCACGGAGUCAUCGCUAACAUACGAUUACGUCGGCUUUACAGGUAGAAACCAACGAGUACGCCGACGAUCAUCGUAGCACUACUGCUAACCCGUCGAACUACCAUAAGAUCUCGCUCGCACGUACGACCCACUUAUCAUUUCUGGGCGAAAUUCCACUUAGGAAUUCGCACCAGUCUCCAAACAAUAGCAACAAGACCCAACCCACACCAAUCUCGGGUUGGUCACCAAGACUCGGGUGUCCUCGAUCUUCAACGAUCUAACACGUGACUUUCCAUACUCGGGUCCAAGCUACGGACUACCGUCGACGACUCUCUGCCCCUGGCUCGAGGCACCGGCCGCGCCUCUCGCAGCUGACUUGGCCUGCCAAAUUGGCUCAGGCAUGCCACAGUCCAACAAAUUGUCCAGGCACCCGAUCGCCCCAAUCACUACACUCAAGCGUCGUCCAUACGACCAUGCUCUACAGAGCUCAGCACUCUAACCGCUCCUAAGUACCCCUGUGCGAGCGACAGCCCUCACGAGUGAUCCAUGGCCCGCUUCACACUUAGCCCUGCUGAAGUGCUACUGCCAAUUCACUCGACCGGCUGAAUCGAAACCGCACUCCACGAGUAUCUAUACUCGAGCGCUCUAUGUCUCUACGACGUCUCACACGAAGUCUAGCAUCAGGGAACUUAGCCCAUGCGCACCGGCCACACGAGCAACAACUCGUCCGCCUCAAUUCGAGGUACUACUAGGCCCACAGGCCAAACUUGGCCUCAACCAACCGCUCUCUCGACAGUGAUUCUACUCUCACUGUUCGAUCUACCGAAAUAAUAUCCGAGAUGCUCAGGCCACUCGGGUAUUCGCAAUGUCACGGCGCAACUCUCGCAAUUCGACACCCAUUGCCUUGAGAGUCGCUCCACCAUUUCACGUUCACCACGAGUCCCAUUCUUCGUCCAAGAACCAUCGCUAGCGAUUUGCUAGUACUACUUGGCUUUCCACCUGCUCCAGCAGGCGCUACACUCUCACGAUGCAAGCAUGUUCGGGUGCUUACCUACCCGACCACUUGGUCCCUACUAUGCAAUAUGUAAUUAGUAGGUGCUGAUCAUAUGCUAAAUGCAUGCAAUGCAUCAACUUGAGAUUACGCAAAAGCAUAUGCUUAUUUAAUUAACCCAUACCUGCAACGGCAUCAUCGAUGGCAGCAGGUUCAUCAACCUGGGUCGCAUAUCCAUGGCCACUAGGCGCUCGCCGCGAACCCUCCGGUUGCAUUGUCCUCAACGGCCGCUCCCCCGACCAUGCCGCAGGUGGCACACCUGCAGGCUGUCCCAGAGAGGAAUGGGCCGUCGCCGCCAUCAAGGCCUGGCUCUCACCUCGCGGGCACUCGUCUCGCAUAUGGCCGGGCUAUCCACAACGGAUACACCGUCCAUCACGCAGCGCACAUCGCCGCGCCUGGUGGGAACCGCCACAAAUCACACAUCCAGAGGAGGAUCGGGUAGAGGAUGACCUCGAGCGGUGUCUGGAACUCGACUGACCAUCCGAACCACUCGAUAAUGGCCUCGCCCCUCCUCGCUCAUGCCUACGAGAUUCGCGCUCCUCACGCACGAAAGCCUCGCCAUGCUCUGCCCACAAUGCUCGGUCCAAUACCUUCGCAAAGGUUGUGAGCUGGAAGAUUUGCACCUUUUUGUAAAUCUCCGGUCGAAGUCCACGCAGGAACCAAUCGGCCUUAUCCUUGUCAUCCCGUACCACAUCCGGGACAUAAUUCACGAUACGGGAGAAUUCCCGUUCGUAUUCCCUCACAGAGCGGUCUCCUUGCCGCAGCUUCCUAAACUUGUCCCGAAGCUUUCUCCUUUCAGUGUCGGGGAAGUACGUAGAAAACAUUAAUCCCCGAAAUUCAUCCCACGCCAUAGGAGGAAGACUAGGCGAUCGAUCCCGUCGAAUGCCUUUCCACCACGCCUUUGCCGAUUGCUUCAAGCAAUGCACAGCUAGGGGCACCUUGUCCCGCUCCAAGGUGUAUAACUCCUCGAAGAGCGUUUCCAUGGAGUCAAUCCACAUCUCCACGAUCCACGGAUCGUCAUUCUCUCCAUCGAAAGUAGGCGGAUCAAAUUUCUUGAAGGUCAUUAGGGCCGCCAAAGUCCGUUCUUUCUCCGCCUCCAAUUCCACAGAACCAGGGGCCACCGCCCCCGAAUCCAUCGUGACUCCUGUCGGUACACGGCACGCUGCUACCGGCGCAGCCGCCGCAGGCUGUCGUGUCAACAAUUCAUGGAGCUCCUUGAUCUGCUCCUCCUGUCGCUGCACUAUGCCCAUGAGCGUAUUCACUUGCUCACGGAGCAUCGGGUCUCCGCUCGCCUCAGCUUGCUCAGGAACUCUUGUCCCUUCCCGCGUCGAUCUGGAUAAGGAUCGCCUACGCGGUGCCAUCGCUUCCUGAAACACGACAACUCGAUUAGUUUUCGACCAACUCGGGUCGAACACGAGACCACUAACAACGGCUUAAAAGCCAAUCAAGCGAAAGUCACGCGAGGGCAUCUAUUCUCAUCACUAGGUUUCAUGUUGUCGUACGCCAACAUGAACAUCCUCGGCUGAGAAUAAACCACACCUCAAGUCUACCUCUAAUAUCCGUCUUAGAGGUUUACGACACAACCCAAUCCAUUAAUCUUUCGCCACAAAUCAUAAGUCCUCGUCUCUCACGAGCCUUAUUCUCCUAUGGUUUACUAUCCUAGGUCUCCUAGGUCCGGCUAAACCAUUUUCUUUUCCCAUUUUCUACUUUAUGCUCUGAUACCACUUUAUCUGUCACGCCCCGAGACCGCUCCCAAUUUGGUCCGGUUCGGGCACGCCGACAGACCGCCGAACGGACCGGGGUUUCCCCUGUACGCGGACAGAGUCUCCCCUGUACGUUCUAGGCGUCGCAAUCCAAACAAUGUACAUUACAAUGGUUCCAACCAGGAACAGAUAUCAAUCAUGAUUGCGUAAGGAAGUAUCAAACAACAUAAACACAUCCUAUGUUAUUACAACAUUCACAUUAGAUUCAUUUACUUACAUCACACUUUAUAUAUUACAUUCAACUUCCAAAUACAAUCUAAGUUAUUACAAGUUUAAUACAUUUUAUUCCUUUCAUUUUCUAUACCCCUAAGCUACGCCGACGGGGUACUGCUAGCUCUGGUCUCUGGGGGUAGGGCGCUAUCUAUGGAGCUACGCCCUUGCCUCGCGCCGCCGCGCCGCUCACGUGCGAACCUGUAAAACCCCAAAACAACGUGGGGUGAGAACCAACUCCAUGGUUCCCAGUGGGUACGGCCACCCAAGGGAGGAGCUCGACCAACAGGUCCAAGGGAGGCAAAUACAAGUUAGUCCAAUAAACAGAUAGAUAUGUAUAUCAUAAACAUGCAACUAACUUUACCUUGCUUUGCCUCACAACUGCAAUGAUGUCAUGCUAUAUGCAACAGGAAUAUAUGCAACAACUAGUAGAAUUAUUGAUUCUACAAUCAAUCUCGCUAAUCUUAGCUCAUGUCAUCCAACUCUAAGGUUUCCACUACCUUAGGUUAUCACAUUUACCACUAGCCCUCAAGGUUCUAUCUACCUUAUUCCAGCUAGCCACCCGACUCGGCCUCGAGUCAAUCAACAGCGGAUAAUCCGCGCUCUGCCCGGCUCGAGGUGAAGGAUCCUGUCGCAUGCACCUCAGCCUGCAAGCCAAGAACCACAUCGCCCAACGGUCCGCCCGAAGGUCCGUGCACCGUGGUCAGGGAUCCGCCAGUGGGAGAGGAAACAUAGCCGCGUACACCCAUAGCCGAGAUCCCCGAUAGGGAGAGGAAUAUGCCGCAUCCACCCUAGCGCUCUUUGUUCUUGCUUAGUCAUAAUCCUCAAAGUUCUUUCCGGUGGGAGAGGAACAUCGCCGCAUACACCCGCGGUCCAAGAACUAUUGAGUUCACAAGUACUGGGAUUCCGGAAUCGACUUCACAAGUCAAGGGUCCAUAUCCAACCCUAUACUAUUGACCUAUCUAGGUCCAAUGCACUUUCCACCCUAGGUCCAACUGACUCUAGGUCUAAUGCCUCAAUUUCACAACCUAGGUUUACCUUAACUCUAGGUUCAGUUCUCAACCUAUGUUCUUUAACACUAGGUUAGAUGCCACACACCUAGAUCCCGACUCUAGGUUCAUACUCAACCUAUGUUCUUUAACACUAGGUUAGAUGCCACUCGUUAUUUAUCCUAGGUUCACCAACGCUAGGUUCAAUGUCAUCUAUGUUCGACCUAUGUUUAUUAACACUAGGUUAAUGCCACUCGAUCUACUUGACAUCCUAUUUGUCAUAUCGAGUACUAUAGAUAUCCACAUUUCAUCUCGCAUACAUUCUAUGAUGCCAAUAUGCAUUUACUAUCUAGCAUGAACUCAUAAUGCUAAGUGCAACUAGCAUAUAUUCCAAUACACAAAUACAUAUCAUUUUACAUGGAUCUACUUAGCAUUUGCAUCAUAUUAUUAAUAUGCAUUAUUUACAUUUAUAUGCAUCAUCUAUAUGCCUCAUUUACAUUCAUAUGCAUCAACGUGGAUUCUUAAUCAUCUUAGACAUAAAGGGCGACCUAGUCGCUUCGGUAAACACAACCCACCUUAACUCGCGUUCCGAUUGCUCGUCGACACUUGCAAUCGGCCUCCCGCGGCACCCGUGACCCGGUUCGGCUCGAACUCUUGCGCAACCACCCGAACGGCCACCAAUCCGCGAUCCGUCUAUUCUGGAGUUUAUUCCACGACACCACGAUGCUCCCGAUCCGCUUUCAUGAUUUUUGGAGGCUUAUUCCGCGUGCUGCGGCUAUCUGUACCAAAACAGACCGUUUCGUCAAUAACUUCGCGUACACUCGUCGUAUCGUCGAACCGAGCGCACCAACGCGUUCGUUAUACCCCCAAUUAGGUUUACAGAGGGUUAAAUGAGAUCAAACCCAUCUAUUUACAAAAAUUCCAUUUUUGAUGCCCUAGAUGCUACUAUUGCAAAAUACCCCAAAUCGAUCUCCGAUUCAUGCAAUAAACAUCUAACUAGCAUCAAAGGAGCCUACUAAUCUCACUUCUAGAGCAUUUAGACCUAUUUCUAGAGAUCUACCAUGAGAGGGAGUAGCAAGCUUACCUCUCUAGGUUGCUCCAAGCGCGAGGAAGACGAAGGAGAGGUUGAAGAUCCCACUCUUGAUCUUCUUCUCCUUCUUCUUCUUCUUCUCUUCUUCUCCUUCCUCUUCUUCUUCUUUUCUUCUAUUUCGUUUAGAGAGAGAGAGGGGCACGUUUGGGGUUGAAACGGUGAGGGAAAGAGAGAGAGAGAGGUUCUACUCCUCUCUAUACACUUAACCCAUAUAACAUUUGCAGGAAAACCCCUCAACAAAGCCUCUCUUGCAACAGCCCGAACUGGGCAUUUUCGGGGUUCGGGGACUGGUCUCUACAUGAGGGACCGGUCUCUGAGAGACCGGUCUCUCUACCUGGGACCGGUCCCAGAGAGACCUCCAGCCCAGACUUAGCCAAUUUUCAGCUUCGUCCGUUUUCGCUCCGUUUUCGCCCGUUUUCGUUCGUUUGACCUCCGAUUCGUCUCAAAUCGAACCGAGACUCUCCAAACAUGUUUUCAAACAUGUUUUCAUCAUCUUUCCAUCCUCGCUAAUGCCGGAUUUAACUCACGGCCCAACAUGGCCUUUCGGCUCCGUUUUCGCGCCUAUGCGCACCGAAACGCUCGAUAGCUCCCGAACUUCACCGAACUUCACCGGAACCAUUCAAAUAGCUCUCCAAUCGAAUGUACACCAUAACUUAAUAGUUUUAGAAGUCCGAUACCUUACAGUGCAUGUAUAUUCUGGUGUCAUUCAUGUAUGUUAGGACUCUAUUAUUGUGUGAAUAUGAGAGUCGGACUUGGACAUUAGUAAACAAGGGUGACAGUGAAAAUAGAGACAUGAUCGGCAUCAAGAAAGUGAUUGUUAAACAUAGUUUAACCAUAUUGACAUUGGACCAAAUUGACAUAGAGAGUGGCAUGAUUAAAUAGGUAGAAAUCUAUUGUGACAUUGGCAUUGUGACUAGUGGCUAUGUAUCCUCAAGUUGAGGAUUGGAUCGAUACUCACGAUAAGUCUUGGCUUGAGGGAGGUAGCUCCCCCUCGGGCGGUGCGCUCCGGAGUUGGUCACCACUGGGCGUGGUAAAGUCCCUCCAGAAGACGGUCCCCAGGGAGGUUCGAGUCCCCCGUUAUUAAGGGUUUUGGGUUGUGAGUCUUUGGGGUUAACAUGGUUAACCGGUAAGAUUGGGUCAUAGCCAAAUGAGUGUACAACAAGUAUGCAUUAUGAGUUAUGGAUUUGGUAUCCUAGUCGAGAGGAUCUAGGGCUGAGGUGUAUGUGAGACGUCCAUCGCCUCGAGCCUGGUUCUAGUGCGGUACUCCGCAGACGAUUGACUCAAGACCGAGUCGGGUGGUUAGCCUUGUAAAGGUAGAUGAAACUUUAUGAUUAAAACGGUGAUUGACAAGAAUCUAAGAUAGAGGAAACCUUAGAUAUCGAAUGGAUGAGCUAUGGUUAGCAGAAUUGAAAGUAGUGUCAAAUGAACUACUAGUUGGUUGCAUAGUUGCAUUAUUGCAUGAUUUGCAUAUAGCAUUGCAUUAUUGCAUUCGUGAGGCAAAGCAUGGUUUUAUUAGUUGCAUAAUAAAGAUAUAUAUCUAUCUGUUUAUUGAACUAACUUGCAGUUGCCUCCCUUGGACCUAUUGGUCGAGCUCUUCCCUUGGGUGGCCGUACCCACUGGGAACCAUGGAGUUUGUUCUCACCCCACGUGGUUUUGGGGUUUUUACAGGUUCGCACGUGAGCGGCGCGGUGGCGCGAGGCGAGGGUGUAGCUCCAUAGUUAGCGCCCUACCACCGAGACCAGAGGUAGUGGUACCCUAAGUCGGCCUUACUUAGGGAUGUAAAGAAUGAAAGAAUCAAGUUGUAAUAAUUAUAUUAAAUCGGAUUGUAUUUGGAAGUUAAAUGUAAUAAGUAUUUGGGAUGUAAAAAUGUAUGAAUAUGAAUGAAUGUAAUAAUAUAGGAUGUGUUUAUAUUGUUUGAUACCUUCCAUUAUGCAAUCUUGAUUGAAAUGUGUUCCUGGUUGGAACUUCGCACAUUGUAUUGAUUGCUAUGCCUUGAACGUACAGGGGAGACUCUGUCCGCAGUUCAGGGGAAACCCUGUCCGUUCGGCGAUCUGUUGGCGGCGCCGCGACCCGGCCAAAUAGGCAGGCGGUCGCGGGGCGUGACAGUUUCGCAGACGAAACUCUUUUUUAGGAGGGAAGAAUGUAACACACUGGACUUUUGCAAAUUGCACGGUUCGAGUGUUUGAUUUGUGUUUCGAGCUUUUCCAUAUUUUCUGGAAGGUCGUAGACAGUGUUCCGACCUAUGGCUCGCAUCUCGAGAAUUGUGGUUUAAAAUCUUGCACCAAACCCAAAAAGAUGGAUUUUUGGUCAGCUCUCGGGUUUGCCUCAGCAGGGCUGUCUACCGGUACAUCCUUGAUGGUUGUACCGGAACAGAUUUUGUACCAGUACACCUUGAUGGUUGUACCGGUACAAAUGUGAUUUUUAGCCAACCCGAGCCUUGGGUUUGUGUGUUCGGGGGAUUUGUACCGGUACACUUUCCCGUGUACCGGUACACUUUCCCGUGUACCGGUACACUUUGCCAGACUUCAAACUGGCAGAUCUGCAGGGGUGUUUUGCCAUUGUUGCUUCUCUAUAUUAGUCCCCACGCCCCUUAGGGCCUUCCCUGAGCUGGGAACACAGGAGAUUGAGGUAGGGGAGCUUCUCACUUUCCCUCUAUGGAUUUUAUCUCCAUUUCUCUUGGAUUUUUGUUGUUUAACUCCUCUCUUUUCUUCUUGGUACAAAUUCCACUAUUGUUGAAGGCUUAGAGCUUGAAGAGGAGCUUGUUUGAGAGGAAAUCUUCAACCCUAGUUGGUUUGGAGCCUAGUUUGGAGCUUCUUAAGAGGUUAGAAACUUGUUUUCUCCUUUUAAUCCAUGAUUUAGUAGAUUUCUUGAGAUGAAACCCUAGAAUGGAAAUUUAGGGUUUGAAAUGGGGAAUUUUGAUCUAGGGCUUUUAGAGCUUGAUUGAUGAGUUUGGAACCUUGGUUUAGGUUGCAUUGGAAGGGUCUUAGCUCUCAUUUGGGUUUUAAAAGGGGCUUUUACACUAUAGAUAAGUUUUGGCCCUUUUGUUGAGUUAGUUAAUGUUUAACCAUUGGAUUGUUCGUAACGUUCGUUUAACUCUCCUUUUAUUACCUUUAGGGUGCUAGGAGAAUAGUGGGCAACUUCGUUCGGCGAAACGAAAGAGUUCGAAAUGUUUCCGGUAGGUUUGAUCUCACCGAAAUAGGUGAACUCCUCCCUAAACCCCUUAUUUGGUUUUAAGAUCCAAUUAAAUACUUUGUCAUGCUCAAAAUGACAUGCUAGGAUUUAUGAGGACACAUUACAUAUAUGCUAUGUAAAGUUAAUUAAUGCUCUAUGUAGUAGAGGCAUUUAUGUGAACUUGUGCAUGAAUUAGUUCUAGUGGGCGAUUUCUCUUUUAUGCAACCUUAGAAGACAUGUUAGAGCAUGAUUGACGGUGUGACCCUUGGGGGAUCUCGACUUAUGGGUUUGGUAAAGUGAUCAUCUUACAUGUUAAACAAGAUACUUGUGUAGACAAAGAAAUAGGACUUUGUGACCUAGUAAUUAACAAGGUGUUGACCUUGAGUUUAAUAGCAUAUCUACAAGACUUGGACUUCUGCAUGAAUGAGACUUAGCAAAUAUUUCCAUGAUAUACCACACUUGUUGUAGACAAGUAGUUGUGACAUGAUGACAUAGUACAUGUAAGAUCUAUAAGAAACCAAGUUGGGACAUUCAUUCUAGUUGAAUAAUUGUAUGUGGCGUUAAUUGAAUGGAAUUACUGCAUGAUAACUUAUUGCUCCAUAUAGUGGAGGUCUUGUUGGUAAUGUAAAUUCAUGACAUGCAUCAUGGACAUUGUAGUAUCAACGCAUAUGGCAUAAGAAAGUGACUAUCUUAGCUAUAGUGGAAUAGACUAAGUGUAAACUUUCAUUGAGACUUGAGCAAUAGUGAACUAUUCUAGAUAGGAUAAUGACAUGUGUUAUGUGAAUAUGAACUAGAGACUUUUACUUGACAUAGUAAAUAUAAACGUCAUGUAGUGACAUUCGGGUUAGUAAAUGAUAACCUUGACACUUGAUACUAUACUUGGACCUUUGGGAUCGUGCUACAUAUUCCAUAUUUUAGACAUGAGGACCGAGAGUUGGAUAUUAUUGAUCAUGCUUGCUUGCCAUUGUGCUCAUUCGCAUAUGCUUGUGAGGGUCGCUUCCCACAAGCCAGCACUCCGGAGAUAGCCUACGCGACACAAGCUCGUCCAUGCGGAAUUGGGGGCCAAAAUGGGAUGUUGACUACCGCAGGGCCAUUUUUGGCACGGCACAAGCCGGACUACACACGUGUAGAUCCAUGACGAGAAUUGAACUGUGAUACCAAAUGUGUAAUGAGAAAACUACUACUAGAAAGUGCAUCCUAGUUGGAUUUGUAGAUAUGCAUGAUAGUGCAUAGUGUGAGUGUGAACUUAUGUUAGUCAUUCUUGGCAUUGACAUUCUAGUGGUAGUAGAUUACACCUUUGUUGAUUGGCUUAUUGUAUGGUUAGAAUAGUAAUGAAAAGUAUCAUCCUUCAUUGUAAUAUUAUGAACAUAAUGGACAUGCAGGACAAUUAGUAUACAAUGGAUUAUGCAUGUAAACCGACAUUAACAUCUAGUUGAUCAAAUGACAAUAGAACCUCAUAUGCAUAAUAGUAUUUGUUUAGUAAAAGCAUGACUUUGAUGAACAUGUUUAAGUACAUGCCUUUCAUAUCUGUUUAUUAACUUACCAUUAUAGCAUGCUUAUGUUAGCCUAGUGGAGCAUUUCACUGAGAUCAGUAAUUGCCCACUGAGAACUAUUUUUAGGAUAGUUCUCACACCCCCCUAUUUUUGUUGUUGUUUUCAAAGCCAUCCGCAUCGGGAGUGGCUAGGGAUCGAGGCAAGGGGUUAGCGGCUAGCUAGAGCCCUACGGAGUUAUUUUAGUUGGACCCGAUGUCAUCUNCUAUGCCUGCUUGAGACCUAGUGGGUAGAUCGGUGGAGUCGGCGGCCGAACCCACUGGGAACUAUUCGUAGUUCUCACCCCCGUGUGGUUUUGGGGGUACAGGUACACAGGACAGCGGGCCUUCAUCGAUGGAUCGUGGUAAGGGCAUAGCGCCCUAGCUUUUGGUAGAUAGUUUACCUUGCCUACUUGCAUUAGCUCUAUACCCUGUACUUUUGGUUAUGCUUUGAGAGUAGAUGAUGUAUAGGGUGAGGUUUGGAGAGCAUAUGAUGUAUUUUCAUUUUGGAAAAAAGGAUGCAAGUUGUAUUAAAUACUUAAAGUUUAAAUGAUAUCGAAGAGGUUUAAUGUUUCAAUCAUGGUUUAAAUAGCUAAGUUUAUCUCUUUUGUAUACUUGUAUGGUUUUACUUAUAUCGCUUGCUCUAGUUGAUAGUAGCACUGCUUGUGCUCUCGUUUAUCGUUGUUUGAUUGUGUAUGUAUGCAAGUUGUUUUCCUGGGAACUUGUUGUACACAAUCUGUUGCUUAGCCUUGGGCGGACAGGGGAAACUCCGUCCGUUCGGCGGUCGCGCCGCCGCCCUCGAACCGGACCAAAUUGGUACCGUUUUCGGGCCGCGCGGUUGGGGCGUGACACUAGGUGCUUCGAUGACUUUCUUGAGAUUUUUGGACUCCUCAUUCUUCACCUGCGGCAAAACGAAGCAAUCUUAGGCCAUUUUGCCCAUAUCUUUACAUCGGCUUUUCGUAACGUUAAUCCGAGCGCACCAACGCGUCGGAAAUACCCCCAAUUAGGUUUUUGAAGGGUUAAUUUCACUUAGGAAUCCCCAUGAGCAAAAGCCCCAAUUUGGUGCCCUAGCUCCAUUACAUAUACAAAACCUAGGGUUUGAUCUCAUUGGGAAGCANUAGUUGUAUACUUUUGUAUCUCUAUUUGUGGAUCCCUUUAUGCUAGAACUUUAGUGAUUUUAUUAUACUCGCUCUGAUAGCCUUAUUAGGACUUCUAUGUUCAUUUCUUGUUUAGUAGACCCCUUGUGUGCAUCAUAUUUGUUGGUGUACACGGCGGGUCUGUGCACGCGCCGGCGGGCUUCUGCUGGGCCCGGGGCGUGACACCCGCUACCAAUUUGGUCCAGGUCGGGCGCGUCGAGCAGACGCCGAACGGACAGGACCUCCUCCGUCCGCCUAAGGCUAAACAACGAGAUCAUACAACAACAGCGAGAGCACAACCAGUGCUAAAUAAUCAAGAGCAAGUAUCACAAGUAGAGUAUAUACAAGUGAACAAAAGAGAGAUACUUAUCUAUUACAUUUAUGCAACUUUUAUACAUCUGAUUACAUUUAAACUUCCAAAACAUAAACAUAGAGUUUACAAUCUUCCAAAAUAUCUCACACCUAUACAUCAUCUACUCUCGUGUAUAUACAAGGUAACUACUAAUGGAAUGGGAAGUAUCUACAACCUCUAGGGCGCUUAGCCCUUACCAAGAUCCUCGCCGGGUGUACUCGAGCUCGGCCCUGCAACAAAGUGGGGUGAGAACUAUUAUCCAUAGUUCCUAGUGGGUUCGGCCGCCGACUUCGCAGAUCUCCCCACUAGGUCUAAACAAGCAUAGGCAGAUAGAUAGAUAGAUAGAUAACUUGCAAGCGAUAACAUAGUAAGAAGACAUGAAAGUAAUCUACCCUGCCUCAAUCUAUAAUCAUGCAUGCAACAUAAGUAAAGGCUAACUACCAAGCUAUCAUACUCAAUAAUGAUGUAAUUCAUUAGAUUACCCAAUCAAUCGGCUAACCCGAAGGUUCGCCACCAUCUCACGUCUCAAAGUCUCAUAGGGGAGGAGAUUUUAAUCACUCGGCUACCCCUGAGACCGCCUGCGGAUAGCUAGCUACUGUCCGGGCAACUCACGACUGCCCCUCUAGUGACCAAAACUCUGGAGUGCACAGCUUGUGUGGAGCGACCACUAUAAGCGCAGACAGGCUAUGUGAGUUCGAUCCAAUCCUCCUGAACUGGGGAUACCCUACCAACUAGGAAUAGCAUCAUCAUGGAAAUCAAUGUAGUCCUUGUCACACCCCGGGACCGAUACGAAUUUGGCCCGACCCGAGCACGUCAAACAGACGCCGAACGGACAGAGUUUUCCCUAUCCGCCCAAGGCUCAUCACAUGUAUAUUUUCAUCAAUAUAGAAAAGCACUAGCGGAAACAUACACAAACGGCUUACGCGAGGGUAAGCAAUAGCCAUUAGUGAAAGAAAGGAAAACUAAACAUUUACAAGUACUAUGAUUCAUUUUUGAUCAUCUACAUUGCAUCCAUAUUGUACAUUUUCAAAUUCCUUACAUUUCACUUCAUUACAUUGCUUGCAUCAUUUCCUUUUACAUCACACUUACCUCAAAAUGAGCUUUACAUUCUUCUCUUUACAUCACUAGUCAUCAAAUACAAAAGAUGAACAUAAGGUACUCUACUAACAAAAUGUAACCCAACUCAACUCUGGUGGCCUCUGUCUAAGGUGCGAUACCUUUACCUCGGUCGCUCGCCGGCUCGCUCGGUCCCAGCUCUGUGGAAAUAGUGGGGUGAGAACUACAACAAAGUUUCCAGUGGGUUCGGCCUCAACAUCACCGACUUUCCCACUAGGACUAACUCAGGCAUAAUAGAAAAAAUAAGCUGCAUAUAGUAACNCACGCGAUGCAUCCGGUCUCUCUUUGGGGGACCGGUCUCUCGGGGACCGGUCUCUCAAGCAGGGACCGGUUCCCGAGAGCUAGUUUCUCAGGACUUAGCCGAUUUUUCGGCUGUCUCAUUCCUCACGCGUUCGGGGACCGGUCUCUCCCACUAGGGACCGGUCCCCGAGAGCUCAAAACUGCAGAAUGCAGAUUUUGAUCCUUUAGCUCUCGAAAACCUUCCGUAAUUCACUUUUGCUCAUUUUAACACCUUCGGACUUUCCGAAGUGUACCAUCCACGCACUUUGGUCAAUUUGACUAAAGUUCGAUAUUUAUUUUUCGAAUUUUCGGUAUAUUACAUUCCUGCACUAAUCUCAUAGUGUUUCACUACACUAACGUUCUUAUGCCACUCGUUCUCGUGUUCAACACUAACUAGAUGCCACUUGUUCUUGUUACAUGUUUCCAAUAUUCUAGUUUACACUUUACUAGGUUUUCAUCCACAUAGGCACAUUCAUCAUUUAUCAUCUCAUUAUAGUGUUCGAAGUCAUCAUGUCACGCUAUCAUGCAUACUAGGUCCAAGUGUCAAGCAAGCGACUCUACACUACCACUAGCAUGCAAGAAUAUACAACAACAUACUAAAUACCCUAUAAUGCAAUAUGGCAAGAUGCUUAUGAGAUCAACAGUGAGCCUCAGACAUAGGGAGCAGUUCAACUGCUUCGGGAUGGCACCACCCACCUUUUGACGAUGCUACGAAGUAGGAAACCCAAUCUCACGAUCACUCGUCGCCGCUUCGACCUCUCGAGCGGAAACGAAGCCGAAACGCUCUUCGCUUGGCGAUAUCUCUGCACCGACUCGACGAAUCGUCGAACCGUCGCCGCCAACGCGUUUAAACACCUAUCAAUUAGGUUUACAACCAACUAAUUUAGAUCAAAACCCUAAAUUUUCCAAAACAUUAGAGCCCUAGGUUUCAACAAUGCGAAAAUCCACGAUUCUAGCUUGAGAUUCAAGCAUGAAGCAUCUACUAGGGACACUAAAGUUCCAACAAAACCAUUUCUAGAGUAUUUAAACUCUACCCUAAAAAUCCACCAUUAAUGCUCUAGGAGCUUACCUCUCAAGCAUGCUCCAAACUAGAGGAAGAAGAUGAAGAAGAUAAUGCCUUCCUCCUUGACCUUCUUCUCCUUCUACUCCUUCUCCUUCUUUCACCUUAGAGGGAGAGAGAGCAAGAGCUUAGAGAGAGAGAGGAGUGUUUAGGUUUAGCUUUGGGGAAGAAAUGAGAAGAGAGAGAGAGCAAGAGCUCUCAUAUAGCUUCACUCAUGUAACAUUGCAUUUUAGCCACUCAACUUUCCAACCAUGAAACAGCCCAUCAUUGGGCAUUUUCGGGCACGGGGACCGGCCCCUCUAAGGGAGGACCGAUCCCCGAGAGUAAUUUUUCCUAGGUUGAGCUUCGGCUCAACCCUUGCACGCGUACGGGAACCGGUCCCUCUUAAGGCGGACCGGUUCCCGAGAGCAACCUUGGCAGGUUGAGCAUCAGCUUUGUAGCACACUGGACCUUUGCAAAUUGCAUGGUUCGAGUGUUUGAUGUGUACUCCGAACUUUUCCACACUUGGUGGAAGGCCGUAGAUGAUAUUUCGGCCUAAAAGUUCGAUCUCUAGAGUUUUGACUUUGUCCUGAGAGUUUUCACUCUCGGAGACCGGUCCUUGAUAUGAGAGACCGGUCCCCUCAGCUCAGUGUUGCGGCAGCUGGCGAGGCAACAGGUCCCUGGCAGGCGAGACCGGUCCCCGAGCGCGUCUGCGCGGGGAGAGUCCGGUCCCGUGCGGGUAGAGACCGGUUCCCGAACGUUGGUUUUGCGGGACGAACUGAGAGACCGGUCCCAGGUGUCGGGGAGACCGGUCCCUCAGUGCGAAAACAGCCUAGACCGGGCAGUGCACGGAGUGGAUUUUUGAGGGACCUAAGUGGAUUUUGUUGCUUUUGAUGGCUUAUAGAGCCUCUUCUCUUCCUCUCACUCUCAUUUUUUCUCCCUCACACCCAUUCUAGAGAGAGAAAGAGGAGGAGAAGAAGAAGGAGUUGGAGGAGAAGAGCUCACUUGGAGGCCUUGGAGCAUCAUCUUCUUCCUCAUUUCUCACCUUGGUAGCUUGGAGCUUGCUUUUGAAGCUUGGUGGUGGACCACUCCUCAACCCUUGAGGAUCUUGGACUUGGUUUGGAGCUUCCUAGAGGUAUGUGACUAGUUCUUCUCCUCUAGAUUCUAGUUUUGAAGCUUUUUGCUUGAUGAAACCCUAGAUUGGGAUUCUAGGGUUAGUUUUGGGGCUUUUUGAUUUGAGAGCUUUGGAACCUUUUUGAUUGGUUUAGAACCUUCCUUUAGGUUGGAUUGGGAGGGUUCUUGCCCCCAUUUGGAGUUUGAGUGAGGAUUUCUUCACUUAAGGUGAGUUUCCUCCAUCUUAGCCUAGGUUACUUAUUGAUUGAGCUUAGGGUUGAUCGUAAGGUUUGCUUAACCCCUGUUCCUACAUCUUUAGGGUGCUAGGAGACUAGUCGGCACCUUCGUCGGAGCUUACGAAGAAUCGCGAGAGUUGUGGUAGGUUUGACUUCAUGAAAACGGGGCAAAAUGGCCCCUAUGCUUUCUAAAAUCUUCGUAAAGUUUUUUUUAAGAGCAAAUCCAUAUUAAACAUGAUUUAUAUGAAUUUUAGAACACUUGAUAUGCAUGCCUUAUAUAUACCUUGAAAUUUACACUCUAUAUAGUAGAGCUAUAUGUGUAGACUGCAUGCAUUGUGAAAGGUGGUUGGCUUUGCAAGUUGAGAACAUGUCUCUUAUAUUUGAAAUGAGUAGAAUUAUGCAUCAUGAACAUAAAUGCCAUGCUUGAACUCGUUGAACAAUAGUGUCAUAAAGGGGCACUUGAACCUAGCAAACUAUGAGAAUGCAACAUAGAGACAUAGCGAUAGGCCAUUGGGUAUCGACUAUAUUCCAUGUUUUAGACAUGAUGACAUAGUGAUAGGCCAUCGACACAGUUGACAUGUAUUCCAUAUUUUAGACAUGAGGACUUGAUGCUUGAGACGGACUGAUAUGCAUGCUUGCCAUUGUGCUCAUUCGCACAUGCUUGUGAGGGUCGCUCCCUACAAGCCGGCACUCCGGAGUUGGCCAUCGCGAUACGUUCGCCGUGCGGGAUUGGGCGCCGAAGUGGAUUGCUGUGGGAAAGGCUCAUUCCUAGGGUGGGGAUGUUGACUACCACGGGGCUAUUAGGCACGGUAAAGCCAGACAGCCUUCGGGUGGGUCUUAUGCCAGACAGCCUUCGGGUGGGUCUUAUCAAAGUUGAACUGUAAACAAUUAAAGUGAUAAGUGCACAUUGACUAGAAUAGUAAACAAUGACAUCUUUACUAUUUACAUCGUGGGCAUUGGAUUAGUUGCAUACUUAUGCAUUUGCAUGUUGGAUACUCUUGUGCACAUACUUGUAGUAAUUGCCUUCUUACUUAUGCAAAUCAUGCUAAGUAGAGAUAUCAUGGUUGAAUAGUAUUCAUAUUUAUUUCCUAGUUGUUCUUAUCGCUUUGGCUUAUACUUGUACACUGACCCACUUUUGUAGUUUUGGGCCUAGUGGCGUAUUUCAAUGAAGUCAGUAAUUACCCACUGAAAACUAUUAUUUAAUAGUUCUCACGCCCCUGUUUCUAUAUGUUUUCCUUUCAGAGCCUUCGGCACCGGCGUAGGCACGGGAUCUCGGCAAGGGUGUCGCGUAGCUAGCUCGGGAGAGAGUCCGUUUUGCGAUAGGUGGUUCCUUCUUUUGUUUGUGUCAGAGAGAGGGAGAGUUUUGGCACCAUGUAUAGAGAGAUCACCUUGUAUUCAGAGUUGUACUUGCUUUGGGACUCCUUUUGUGUUAUCUUAUGUUUUACCUAGCGGAUUAUCAGUUUUAUGAUCUUCUUCUUGUUGUAGCAUCUCGUAGUUACUUUGCUCUGAUACUCCUAGAUGCUUUCUUGUAUUGUUUUAUUUACCGCUUUAUUUUAGACGCCUUAUAUGUUUUAGACGUACGGCGGGUAUGGACACGCGCCGGGCGGGCUUCCGCUGGGUCCCGGGGCGUGACAAGCUCAACCCCCACAUGCUUACAGGAACCGGUCCCCUCCCAGAGGGACCGGUCCCCGAGAGCACAAAACCUGCAACUUGUACAGAUUUUGCACAGCUUGCUCUCGCAGGUCCUUCUCAAUACACUUUUUGCAUUUUUAUCGCAUUCGGACUUUCCGAAGCAUACCAACUCAACAACAAGUCGAUUCUAAUCGAAGUUCAACUCUCGGAUUUUGAUAAUUCAUUUCCUUACAAGCAGCAAAUUAAUUUUUAAACAACAAAAUUUCUGUACCUGUGGGCAUAAGAAACUCAUUAUCUAGAAAUUCAAUCCACUAUCCUAUUCUAGUCAAAAUUCAAAAUUAUUAUUUAUUUGACUACAAUAAAUAAUCAAACUUUAAUUAAAAAGUCAAACUUUAAUUCAAUGUCAGUAAAUUCUUAUACAUUCAUCAUUAUUUAUAGCAUGCUACCUUAUUUGACAUUGAAUGACUAUUAAAAUUGAAUUAGGAAUCUGUACGAAUUUUCGGGUUAAAGUUAGUUCACUAUCAUCUUAUAAAAAUACCGUAAGUGAUCACAUGCCAUGACUAGGAUGCGGUGGCUAUUUCUGGACAUAGUUGAUCUCAUAAAUCCUUAUAUGAUAUUGAAUGACUGAAAAUUUCAUGUUAUUCCAAAAUGCAGUGAAAAAAAAUAAAAGUCCAAAAUAAUUUUCUUAACAACUUUAUGUGGCUCAAAUUUAUAAACUGUGUGAAGUCUAUAUACCCUACUCUAAUUUUUAUGAUGAUCUUAUAUAUGUUUAGAAUAAUAACAUAACAAAAUUGUAUCGCAAAAUAUUAAUCUAAACAUACUACUUUAUAAUCUAAAUUAGCAUACGAGUAGAAUAAAAAUCAUAUAAGACAAAUACCAAACAUUAUAUANUAGCUCAUACCGGGAGAGGAGAACCGUCGAUCCCGUUGAAUCACUACCGGGAGAGGAGAACCGUCAAUCCCGUAGUUCCGAUUCACUUGUUUCAUGGCAUACCGGGAGAGGAGAACCGUCGAUCCCGUUGAAUCACUACCGGGAGAGGAGAACCGUCAAUCCCGUAGUUAUGAUUCUAUUCUUGCCAUCACACCAUUCCUAGGAAUUCCGGAAUCCACUUUCACAACUUAAGGGUUUUACUCUUUUACUCUAUGUUGACGACCUUUCUAGGUCUAUACUAUUCACUUUCUAGUGGUCCUAUUACCACUAUAAUUCAUAACUUAGUUUACUUUUACUGAGUGUUUCUUUACAUUAUAACCUAGGUUCAUUUACACCAGGUUUAAUAUUCUCUCUCCUAGAUCUCAACUCUAGGUUUAUUUGCUUGACCUAUGUCCAAUGACACUAGGUUAAUGUCCGACCUAGGUUCAAUAACACUAGGUUCAUUUCAUGUCCAACCUAUGUUUAGCAACACUAGGUUUAUGCCACUCGAUCUAUACAAUGACCAACCUAGGUUUAAUAACUUAGGUUUCAUGCCACUCGAUCUAUAUAUCACCCGAGGUAUCCUUGCCUAGGUUCACAAUUCACAUGUUUUCAUGUAGCUUGUUACCGCUGAGGUUUCUAAUCAACGAGAAUUAUCGACAUUCAUAUAGCUUGAACUAUGGUACAUUCAUUUUCAUAUAUGUUUAGAUAUAUACAUCAGAUGUCGACAAUUAUGUAUGCUUUAGCAUCUAUGUUCACAUUUCAUAUUCACCUUACAUGCCCCUGACAUUUACAGGUUCAACUUUUAUAUAUCAUAUAGUUGCUCAUAAGAAUUUAGCAUAACUAUGCAUCUAGCUUUCACGUUCAUAUAUCGACAAUUAUAUGUAUGUAUUCUUAGGUCUCUCGCAUUCACUUUCAUAUAUGUUUAGCCCUUUGCAACUAGCAUUUACAAUUCACGUAUUCAUAUUCAUAUGAUAACUAUUAGAGAUCAUCUACGCUAAUAUUCACAUGUCAACAAUCAUAUUCAUAUAUGCGUCAAAUGAAACCAUACUUUACUUUGACAUGGGAAGCGACCUAAUCGCUUCGGUAAGCACAACCCACCUUUACUUGAUACUGGAAUGCGAGAAAUCCGCUUCUCGCACUUUCCAGAGAACCGCGACCCGCGCUCUUGACAAUUGUAGUCGAAAAUGCUCUUUUGGCGAUAUCUUCGCGUAGGCUCGACGGAUUGCCGAACCGACUUCGCCAACGCGUUUGUUUUACCCCCAAUUAGGUUGUACGCGGUCAAUUUCACAUUAGGACUUCUAUCCUGCAAAAGUGCAUUAUUGAGGUCAGUUCAAUAUAACUUCUUUUACACGAGUUCCAUACAAAUUUAUAGAGCAAUUCAACUUCAACCAUUAAUCUAAGAACCCCAUAACCAGCUAAUCUAGGAAUACAAGAGAUCCACUUUAGCUAUAACAUCAUUCCUACAAUUUUCAUAUACAACCCAAGUUUACUUGCACGUUGUUAGCAUAUUAUAGUUUCUAAUGUUAUAUAGCAUCUACAAGCUUUAGCCUCUAAUAGAUGUAAAUUCCUGUUAUAACUAUGCUCCUACAACUCUAUUUUUUUAGACCAAUUAUGCCACAUAUAUAGCAGCCCAAGUUCACAUAUAUGCUGUCAACAUAUAACUCUUCCACUAGGUUUUGAUAACACAUACAAGUUUUUUGUAGAAUUCAAAACCCCAAGUUAGAUCCCUUUCUUAGGUUAAAUACCACAAAUCAUAAUCAGGAAUUAUGACUAACCUGUCUCAAAUUACCUCUUUAACAAACAAUUCACUUGCAUACUAUUCCAUCUUUAUAGCUGGUUAUAGGUUCUUCAUGGCAUGUAGAAGAUAUAGCAACCAUAAUCUAUAGUUUAGACCCUUUUUUUUUUUUCUUUAGACCAAUUAACCUAACCCAAAAUCAGGAAUUACAAAAUAACCGGCAGGAUAGCUACUUAGUUCCCAGCUGCCAAUAUUCAUACAUAAUACACAUGGCUUCUUACAUAGCAUCUACACUCUUUAACAACCAAAAUCCAUAGUUUAAACCUUUUUAAUUUCAGCACAAAUCCAUCAAAAUGACUUCUCCUAAGAUCCACCAUAAAAAUUCAUCAAAAGAUCUGAUUUGAAAUUAUAAUAAUAAAAUGCUAACUUCGCAGUCGAAGCGCCGAAAAAAUCCAACGCGCGCGGGGGAUCGAUCGGCUCGUCGAACGGCACCAAUUUCAUCACUUUCUUCUUCUUCUUCUUCUUUUUUUCUUUUUCCUUUUCUCUUCCUUUCCCUUUCUCUAUCAUGCGUACAGGGAGAGGAUAAGAAUGAAGGUCUCCUGGCAGCUUAGUGGAAACCCACUAAGCAAUGUAACAAUUGCCUUUAGGUCCACAAGUCAUCAAUAUUAUCACUUCAGUCUAGUUCUAGUCUGAUAUAUUUAAUUGGAGCUCUUAUGAAUGUCCGAUUGAGUUCAAAUUUGACAGGAAUGCUCGUUUUUACUUCAUAAGUCCACUGAAAUUUUAACAUUUCAGUUUCGACCCCUUUUGGUUACGGCGAACUGUCCCGAACUGUAAUCUUUAUCAGAUAACUUCCAGAUACUAUUUCUCUCUCUACAGGUGUCAGAAAAAUAUGAAACUUCAAAUCUAGACUCAUAAUAACGUUCCUGACAUCUCUGCUAAUUUUCAUAAUUUUCUGACACUGUGCAUUUUUCUGCUAAUUUCUCAGUCUCGUUCUUUACAGAAAAUUCUACAUUUUCCGUUUUCACUCCGAUUUCUUCCAAACACUUCCAAAAUAUUCCAAGGGACCUUUACAAGCUACUAAUUUAAUUUGGAAGCAAUUCCUUUUCAUUUUGACAUUAUUUGAGCCGAAUUAGCAAUAGAAUUAGCUCAAAUUCCAUUACAUGGUAGCAAUUUCUCCUUUUUGCACUACCACUUUGUACUGAACACUUCAAAACCCUUUGAAAACACACUCCUGGUUUUUUCAAAGCUUCACAAUUGAUUCGGAGAUACCACAAUUUAUCCUCACGCCUUACUUUAAUUCUUUUAAUCAAAGUUAGCGUCGGAACUCCGAAAAUUCUCUUUAUAUUUCAUUUCGCGCCCAAUUUGCGCCGAAACACUUAUUUAUCUCCAGAAUUCAUUCACACGCAUCACAAAUCACUCGAAGAUGAUGUCCAACUAGCUCAAUCCUCACUUUGACCCUCUAGGUCAAAGUUGACAUCGCAACUCCAAGUUUCCAUAUGUUACACGAUCUAUGUCAUAGUGUCACUUUGUUCUUUUGCUUACUUUGGGUGCUCACUUUCUCUCUCAUGCAUACACAUAGGGUUUUCGACAUUUAUAAGGUUCUCAACCAUAACAUUAGGCACGUUGUACUCACAAUCAUGCAAUCAUCACAUUUUAUCAUUACUUUACCCUAAAAUGCAUGCAACAAUAUAGGUGUAUAUGCUCAAUCGAAUGAUACAUUAGGCAUAGAGGGAAGUUCAAUAAGUUUGAGAAGCACCACCCACCUUGUAGGUCUAUCUAGGUGUAAGAUAUCGAAAUUCGACGAAAACGGCUAACUUUGGCACAAUGGACCAAAGUAGGCAAUUGAACGAUUUGGACAAGUUCCAUUCGGCAUUCCAACAAGUUUGGAAGAGUAAUAAUGAGUUCCAAAAGUGUUGGAAUAGUUCUAGCGUUGUUGGACGCGAAAAGAAAUCGAAACAGAUCGAAAAACAGCUUUCUGGAGCUGGUGUACCGGUACACGCAUGAUGGCUGUACCGGUACAGCCAUUGCUGCCAGGCUGCGCAGCCCUCGGGUUUGCUCUCGGGUUUGGCCGUUACGCAGGGCGCGUACCGGUACGCAAACCCGUGUACCGGUACACGAGCGCGCAGCAGCGGGUUAAGUUGCAAAAUCUGAUAAAAGGAGGGCUUUUUAGCAUUUUGUUACAAUAGAGGACUUAACCCUCAUGCCCUCAGCUCUCUCCUCUCUCACUCCCACAGCCCCUCUCUCUCUCUAGCUCUCUCUCUCUCUCUAACCGGUUGGGAGAAAAGAAGAAGAAGAAAAAGAGAAGGAAAAAGAAGGAAAAAGAGAGGAAGAAAAGGAAGGAGAAGAAGGAGAAGAAGGUUUUGAAGCCCUUCUUCAUCUCGUUUUUGACCUAGGGCUUGCUUUGGAGCAAACCCUAGAGGUAAGCCUCAACCCCUUUCAUGGUAACUUGUGAUUUCUAGGGUUUGGAUGGUUUUUGUUGCUUUUGAUGGUUCAAAUGGAACCUAAUGAGCUUAGAGAACAUGGAUUUAGCUCACAUUGAAGCUAUAAUCCAUAACCUCUCAUGGAUCCUAACCCUAGGGUUAGAUUUUGGGGAUUUUGUAAAUAGUGAGGUUUGAUCUCUUUUGAGGGGUUAGAAAUCUAAUUGCUAUGCUUAUAAACGCGUAGGCGAAGACGGUUCGUUGAUCCGACGAGUGAGCGCGAAGAUA
rnacentral:lncRNA from 1 species